CAGAAAGUAAGAGUGAUUUGUAGAUCAAAAGACAGCCUGACUAGGGCCACCUAAAUUGAAUUCCCAAAUGGAAACUGGGAGUCUGCUUGAGAAUGCAGUUUAAUUAACUGUGAUGUUCAGAUUGCUCCCCAUCUGAGUGAACAUGAUGGACUGCUCUGAGAGCAUAGCUUGGCAGGGCUGUGGUGCAGGAGCUGAAGAAUCAUCUUUCACAAGGAAGCAAGGGGUCAUGGACUCAAGCCAGGUGCACAGGCACCUGCCUUCGCGACCUGGCAAAGAGAAGGUAUCACUUCAUUUAAGCAUCGCCAUGUUUGAAGCAGGUAUAUUAUUGUCACUACCAUUCAUGAGGAAAGCAAGGAUUAGAGAGGAUGAGCAUAUCACCCAAGGUUACCCAGCUGGUAGCAGUGUAUGAAAAGUUCCUUCAUUUUCUUGUCAUCACUUUGUGUCCGGAAUUGGUGAGUUCUCGGUCUCACUGACUUCAAGAAUGAAGCCACGGACC